rnacentral:misc_RNA from 1 species
AUGCUUGUAUUUUUGCUACGCUUUACUUGGAAAUGGAAAUCAGACAAUCUUAUUGUUUAAUGACUUGAGCUUUUACAGAGGGCAAUCUUAUCUCCUCAUGUCCUUCCUUUUCUGCUCUGCAUCUGUACUUUCUCUUUCAUUUUUGUUUACAACUCCUUUGCCAGUGAAGGGGGAUAAUUGUUCAGUUCCAAAUAUUUUUUUACUUUUGGAAGAGAAGUACAUAAUAA